GUCGGACGGCAGCGCGGGCUUCGGCCUGGCGGCGAGUGGCGAACGGGUGAGUAAUACAUCGGAACGUGUCCUGUAGUGGGGGAUAGCCCGGCGAAAGCCGGAUUAAUACCGCAUACGCUCUGCGGAGGAAAGCGGGGGAUCCUUCGGGACCUCGCGCUACAGGGGCGGCCGAUGGCAGAUUAGCUAGUUGGUGGGGUAAAGGCCUACCAAGGCGACGAUCUGUAGCUGGUCUGAGAGGACGACCAGCCACACUGGGACUGAGACACGGCCCAGACUCCUACGGGAGGCAGCAGUGGGGAAUUUUGGACAAUGGGGGCAACCCUGAUCCAGCAAUGCCGCGUGUGUGAAGAAGGCCUUCGGGUUGUAAAGCACUUUUGUCCGGAAAGAAAACUUCUGGGUUAAUACCCCGGGAGGAUGACGGUACCGGAAGAAUAAGCACCGGCUAACUACGUGCCAGCAGCCGCGGUAAUACGUAGGGUGCAAGCGUUAAUCGGAAUUACUGGGCGUAAAGCGUGCGCAGGCGGUUCGCUAAGACAGAUGUGAAAUCCCCGGGCUUAACCUGGGAACUGCAUUUGUGACUGGCGGGCUAGAGUAUGGCAGAGGGGGGUAGAAUUCCACGUGUAGCAGUGAAAUGCGUAGAGAUGUGGAGGAAUACCGAUGGCGAAGGCAGCCCCCUGGGCCAAUACUGACGCUCAUGCACGAA
rnacentral:rRNA from 1 species